rnacentral:lncRNA from 1 species
CAUCCAAGUCAAUGGUACUCCAAUGGCCUUCUUCCACUCCACAUCAGGCUUCGCUAAGGUUAUCCUCUUUUCCCUUAUCUUUUUAUUCUUUGUGUUGACAUCUUUUCUUAUUCUCUCCAUGCUACAUCUUGGAGCGAGGGGCUUAAUGCAUACACACCUACUCCGGGGACCCAAUUGCUAUCCCACUUGCCCUUUACAAAUGAUUGCUUCUUGCUAGGCUAGGUGAUGGUA